AGCUUUCUGUGGUUUAUAAAUUUGUUGAUGGGGUUUUCAUGCCGUUACAUGAAAUAGGCCUCCCUCAAACCUAUUUAUGAUGUUGGCAUAUUUCCCUUCUGGCA
rnacentral:snoRNA from 1 species